CUCGAGAACAUGGUAGCGAACACAGUGCUACUCAAGACCUGGGAAGGUGGAGGUGGAAAUCCCAAAGGCAAGAGCAAGAAAUGGUGGCAAAUGCUUCAGUUCCCCCACAUCAGCCAGUGUGAAGAACUGCGGCUCAGCCUCGAGCGUGACUACCACAGUCUGUGUGAGCGGCCGCCUAUUGCGCACCUUCUGUUCUGGGAGUUCUGCACCACAAGGCCUGAGCUGACACACUGCGUUGCCUUCCUGGACAGGGUGGCUGAGUAUGAAGUGACCCCUGAUGAGAAGCGGAAGGCAUGUGGGCGGCAGCUAAUGCAGAGUUUUCUGAGCCACACGGGUCCUGAUCUCAUCCCUGAGGUCUCCCUGCAGCUGGUGACUAACUGAGCCCAAGAGGCUGGAGCAUGGACCGUGCAAAGACCUCUUCCAGGAGUUGACCCGGCUCACCCAUGAGUACUUGAGCAUGGCCCCUUUUGCUGACUACCUCGACAGCAUCUACUUCAACCGUUUCCUGCAGUGGAAGUGGCUGGAAAGGCAGCCAGUCACGAAAAACACCUUCAGACAGUACUGAGUCCUUGGCAAAGGUGGCUUUGGGGAAGUGUGUACCUGCCAGGUGUGGGCAACAGGCAAGAUGUAUGCCUGCAAGAAGCUGGAGAAGAAACGAAUCAAGAAGCAGAAAGGGGAGGCCAUGGAUUUUAAUGAGCAGCAGAUCCUGGAGAAAGUGAACAGUAGGUUUGUAGUGAGCUUAGCCUAUGCCUGUGAGACCAAGGAUGCACUGUGCUUAGUGCUGACGCUGAAGAAUAGAGGUGACCUCAAGUUCCACAUCUACCACAUGGGCCAGGCUGGCUUUCCUGAAGCGCAUGCUGUCUUCUAUGCUGCUGAGAUCUGCUGUGGGCUGGAGGACCUGCAUCGAGAGUGCAUCGUGUACAGGGACCUGAAGCCAGAGAACAUCCUUCUGGAUGGCCACGGCCAUAUCUGCAUCUCUGACCUGGGACUGGCCGUGCACGUGCCUGAGGGCCAGACCAUCAAAGGUCUUGUGGGCACUGUGGAUUACAUAGCUCCAGAGGUGGUGAAGAGUGAGCGAUACACAUUCAGCCCUGACUGGUGGGCAUUAGGCUGCCUCCCAUAUGAAAUGAUCGCAGGCCAGUCACCCUUCCAGCAGAGGAAGAAGAUCAAGCAAGAGGAGGUGGAGCGGAAGGUGAAGGAGGUGCCUGAAGAAUACUCUGGGUGCUUUUCCCCACAGGCCUGCUCACUCUGUUCCCAGCUCCUCUGCAGGGACCCUGUGGAGCGACCUGGGUGUCGUGGGGCCGGUGCCCAAGAGGUGAAGGAGCACCCUCUUCAAAAAGCUGAAUUUCACGCGACUGGAAGCAGGCAUGCUAGAACCACCCUUUAAACCUGAUCCCCAGGCUAUUUAUUGCAAGGAUGUUCUGGACAUUGAACAGUUCUCCACUGUUAAGGGUGUGAAGCUAGAACCAACCGAUCAGGACUUCUACGAGAAGUUUGCCACAGGCAGCGUGCCCAUCCCCUGGCAGAAUGAGAUGGUGGAGACCGAGUGCUUCCAGGAGUUGAAUGUCUUUGGCCUGGAUGGCUCAGUUCCUCCAGACCUGGACUGGAAAGGCCAGCCACCCGCACCACCGGAGAAGGGACUGCUGCAGAGCUUCUUCAGCUGCCAGAGGAUUGCUGUGGGAACUGCAGUGACAGUGAGGAAGAGCCCCCACCCACCUCUAGUCCCCAGCCCGAGGCCCCCACCAUCGGUUGGCGGUAG